AAAAAAAAAAAAAAAAAAAAAAAAAAAAAAAAAAAAAAAAAAAAAAAAAAAAAAAAAAAAAAAAAAAAAAAAAAAAAAAAAAGAUGGAAACGGGAAAAAAUCCGUAGAAAGAUUUAAAAAACAAAAACAGAAGUGCGAGAGAACUCAAGUUUCAAAUUGAACAAAUUGAUUAAAAAUUAAUAAUGAGAUCACAACUAAUUAUUGAUCAAGUUUCUAAGAAAACAAAUCGACACACGAGAGGCAAGAGUCCCCUUUUGAUGUGCGAGCAAGCUGGUUUAACAAUCUCCAUCCCAACCGGAAAUUGCUUG
rnacentral:lncRNA from 1 species